CCUACGGGAGGCAGCAGUGGGGAAUAUUGGACAAUGGGGGCAACCCUGAUCCAGCCAUGCCGCGUGUGUGAAGAAGGCCCUCGGGUUGUAAAGCACUUUCAGUGAGGAAGAACGCCUGGUGGUUAAUACCCAUCAGGAAAGACAUCACUCACAGAAGAAGCACCGGCUAACUCCGUGCCAGCAGCCGCGGUAAUACGGAGGGUGCGAGCGUUAAUCGGAAUUACUGGGCGUAAAGCGCGCGUAGGUGGCUUGAUAAGCCGGUUGUGAAAGCCCCGGGCUCAACCUGGGAACGGCAUCCGGAACUGUCAAGCUAGAGUGCAGGAGAGGAAGGUAGAAUUCCCGGUGUAGCGGUGAAAUGCGUAGAGAUCGGGAGGAAUACCAGUGGCGAAGGCGGCCUUCUGCACUGACACUGACACUGAGGUGCGAAAGCGUGGGUAGCAAACAGGAUUAGAUACCCGUGUAGUC
rnacentral:rRNA from 1 species